rnacentral:rRNA from 1 species
GACGAACGCUGGCGGCGUGCCUAAUACAUGCAAGUCGAACGAGAGCGACCGGUGCUUGCACUGGUCAAUCUAGUGGCGAACGGGUGAGUAACACGUGGGUAACCUGCCCAUCAGAGGGGGAUAACAUCCGGAAACGGAUGCUAAAACCGCAUAGGUCUUCGAACCGCAUGGUUUGAAGAGGAAAAGAGGCGCAAGCUUCUGCUGAUGGAUGGACCCGCGGUGCAUUAGCUAGUUGGUGAGGUAACGGCUCACCAAGGCCGUGAUGCAUAGCCGACCUGAGAGGGUGAUCGGCCACAUUGGGACUGAGACACGGCCCAAACUCCUACGGGAGGCAGCAGUAGGGAAUCUUCCGCAAUGGACGCAAGUCUGACGGAGCAACGCCGCGUGAGUGAAGAAGGUGUUCGGAUCGUAAAACUCUGUUGUUAGAGAAGAACAAGUGCUAGAGUAACUGUUAGCGCCUUGACGGUAGCUAACCAGAAAGCCACGGCUAACUACGUG